UCCCGCAGAUUAGUGCAUUGGAUUUAAGCUUCAUAUAUAAAGUAUUUUACUUUUGUUAGAAUCACUU
rnacentral:tRNA from 1 species